GAUGAAGAACGCAGCGAAAUGCGAUAAGUAGUGUGAAUUGCAGAAUUACCUGAAUCAUCGAAUCUUUGAACGCACAUUGUGCCCCCUGGUAUUCCUGGGGGCAUGCCUGUUCGAGCGUCAUUAACAACCAAUCGGGCGGGGCUUUUGCAUGCUCCCGCUCGGCCAUGGGGGAUGGACGUCGUCGGACGCCCACCCCCGAAAUGCAACGGCGGACGGCCACCCGUGGCACUGCGGCGUAGUAAGUUAACCCUUCGCGCGCGCCCACGGAGUGGACUGCCCGGCCGCUUGAACCCCCACACAUCCUACGGUUAACCUCGGAUCAGGUAGGGAUACCCGCUGAACUUAAGCAUAUCAAUAAGCGGAGGA
rnacentral:misc_RNA from 1 species